rnacentral:rRNA from 1 species
UACAGAGGGUGCAAGCGUUGUUCGGAAUUAUUGGGCGUAAAGGGCGCGUAGGCGGUGCGGUAAGUCCGCAGUGAAAUCUCUGGGCUCGAACUCAGCAGUCUGCUGUGGAAACGUGCCGUGCUUGAGUGUGGGAGAGGUGAGUGGAAUCCCGGUGUAGCGGUGAAAUGCGUAGAUAUCGGGAGGAACACCUGUGGCGAAAGCGGCUCACUGGACCACUAACGUGACGCUGAUGCGCGAAAGCUAGGGGAGCAAAC